rnacentral:tRNA from 1 species
ACGGGUAUAGUUUAGUGUUAAAACCAUAGCCUUCCAAGUUAACGAUGCGGGUUCAAUUCCCGCUACUCGCU